UCUCUUGUGCUCGGGCAUGAACUGUCGCCAGUGAAGUCUUUACCGAGGCACAGUCUUUUGCUAGUUGCAAAUUACACAUCCGAACCCGUCUAACAGUUAGCUUCAAGCUUUCAGCAAUUUUUUGAAAAACCAGUUU
rnacentral:snRNA from 1 species